UCAGCCUUAGCGCCUUUCCAAUGGUUCAAAGUGCGCGUGACCGUGCGCAGGCGCAGUCGGCCGCAUCUGACUUCCGGGAGUUACUUAAGGUAUAAAUAUGGCCGCGUAGGCUCGCCUCAGUCUUUUUAGGCGUUGCUCUUUAGCCGUGCGUUUUCUUGAGCUGAUGAGUAAUUCCAAGUAACUCGUUGAUUUGAGGAAAGAAGAGGAUCUUCACAGGGAUCUGCUUGAUAAAUGGCUUUGAGGCAUUUUAGCUAUAUACAGCUUGGUAAAAUUUUGUCUGUAUUAGUGCAUCAGCCAUUGGAAGCUGGACAAGCUUUUCUGCCUACUUACUCUGUCUGGUAAAUGCAAUUUUUUUUGACAGGUUAUGUCUAGAUUUCAGAAACCUCAUGUUUCUCCUUUUUGAUAUCCAACAAGAUUCCCUUGGGCCAUAUUAUAUAAACCAUGUAUCAUUUUUUUGUUCUCACAUUUUCUGUAAGAUUAUAUAGCCUUAAGUUCAAAUCCAGACUGGGUUAUAUGAUGUGGUUGUAAUCUGAGUAUUUGUGAUAUAACUGGCAAAUCUGAAUUAAAGCUUUUGAAUGCCUA